GAAUUGUUCGCAAUGGGCGCAAGCCUGACGACGCAACGCCGCGUGGAGGAUGAAGGCCUUCGGGUCGUAAACUCCUGUCGACCGGGACGAACGUAGUCGGGUCCAAUACACCCGGCUAUCGACUGUACCGGUAGAGGAAGCCACGGCUAACUCUGUGCCGGCAGCCGCGGUAAUACAGAGGUGGCAAGCGUUGUUCGGAAUUACUGGGCGUAAAGGGCGCGUAGGCGGUCUCGUAAGUCCCGCGUGAAAUCCCCCGGCUCAACUGGGGAAUGGCGCGGGAAACUGCGUGGCUUUGAGUUCGGGAGAGGGAAGCGGAAUUCCGGGUGUAGCGGUGAAAUGCGUAGAUAUCCGGAGGAACACCGGUGGCGAAGGCGGCUUCCUGGACCGACACUGACGCUGAGGCGCGAAAGCUAGGGGAGCAAAC
rnacentral:rRNA from 1 species